rnacentral:rRNA from 1 species
GGGCCCGCACAAGCAGUGGAGUAUGUGGAUUAAUUCGACGCAACGCGAAGAACCUUACCAGGGUUUGACAUCCUACUAACGAAGCAGAAGAUGCAUUAGGUGCCCUUCGGGGAAAGUAGAGACAGGUGGUGCAUGGUUGUCGUCAGCUCGUGUCGUGAGAUGUUGGGUUAAGUCCCGCAACGAGCGCAACCCUUAUGUUUAGUUGCUACGCAAGAGCACUCUAGACAGACUGCCGUUGACAAAACGGAGGAAGGUGGGGACGACGUCAAAUCAUCAUGCCCCUUAUAUCCUGGGCUUCACACGUACUACAAUGGCGGUCAUACAACGGGACGCGACACGGCGACGUGAAGCAAAUCCCUUAAAAGCCGUCUCAGUUCGGAUUGCAGGCUGCAACUCGCCUGCAUGAAGUCGGAAUUGCUAGUAAUCGCGGAUCAGCAUGCCG